ensembl:lincRNA
GGGAGAAAUAAGUAAACCUGUAUUUCUUCUAGGUCUGGCGUGCUUCUUUUAAAUGAAGGGUUGCAGAUGAAGCUACUUUCCCAUUCCUACAUCGCGCUCUCCAGAGUGUUCAUCAUGGUGUCCAGUUUCCUUGACCACAGGCUGCCUAGAUUACUCCACCCACGAAGGUCAUGAUUGGAUGAAAGGUGAGAUUUAGAGAUUCUUCUCUAAAUUUUGAGAUAAGCUUCUUAUUAAUGAAAGGUUCUUUCUCUUGCCUGAGGUUGAGAGCUGUAAUAAUAGUAUAAACCACACCCAUUUGUGGCCAUUGUCUUCAGCACCUGGAGAAGCCUUCUUUAUUCUGGGAGAAUGAAGCCAACAAGCAAAUAAAAGCAGACUCAAGAGAUAGAGAAAGGAUAUAAUUACAUUGGUUGAAUGCUUGUAUUUUCUUGGAACUGGACUUCUCAACUGUACAACCUGAUGCCAUCAUGGAAGCUGAAAAUCCUCACGCCUUUCAUUCUGUCUAGGGCUGACUGGAACCAGGGCUGGCUGAUCAGCUGUCAGGCUGCUUUUUAG